rnacentral:lncRNA from 8 species
AACUCCCUGCACUACUGACAGGGGCUCUGGCCUGACGCAUGCCUCGUUAACCAGGAGGUUACUACUUUGCCACUUAAGAUGAUGACGUACAGCUGGUACGUGGCCAAGCUGGGCCAGCAUCACCCUGGGGUUCACUUCCCAGGGCGCUGGUGGGACCCGGUCCAUAUUGAGGAGAAAGACACCUUCAGUCUGGAGCAGUUCCUCUCUCACAACGCACAGGGGGGCUGUGCUGGCCUGCAUCGGGCUGCCUGACCGGGACCCCAGCUGGGAGAGAAGCUUUUCUCACUGGCUCCUGGGUGUGUGUGACCACCUGGUGCCUGCCCAGGAGCCCUUCCACCCGGAGGAGUGGACCCGCCACACCCUCUACAUCUGGACCGAGCCACACAACAGGGUCCUGGGUGAGGGGGUCUAACGAGAAGAUGUGGCAGGCCAGGAUGAAGACGGCUUUCUUUCUGUUUGACCUGGCUGAGAGGAUCCAGGGAGAGGAGAAAGCUCGCCUGUUUGAGCUCUCCUACACAGAGACUGUAUAAGGAAAUCGUGCAGAGGCACACAGACAACCGUCCCAACUGGGAUAAGAACCUGGCCCUAGCCAGCGGGAGGCUACUGCAGCAUCCAGCACUUCAGCCUGUACCUGGACAAGGAGCCCACGGACUCUCAGGCCCCCGCCAUCCGCACCGCCGUUUCCCACCUGCUGCAGGAGAGGACCAGGCUCCGGCAGAGACGCACCCCCUGAGGGAGGGGACGGUCAGAUAGAGCGGGCACACUGGGAGUGGGCUUGUACUGU